rnacentral:rRNA from 1 species
AUGGAUUUUCCAUCGUUUGAUGGAGAAAAUCCGCAGUUCUGGAAGACCAAAUGUGAAAAGUAUUUUGAUGUGUAUGGAGUGGCUCCGGAUCUCUGGGUUCGAUUAGCCACGCUGAAUUUCACAGGCACAGCGGCCAGAUGGCUGCAACUUCAUGAGACACAGAGCACUUCAUUCACUUGGGCGUCACUCUGUGAGGCCUUGUGCCAUAAAUUUGGUAGAGAACAGUACCAGUCCCAUCUCCGUCAGUUUAACACCCUUCGUCAGUCAGGGACUGUAGCCGAUUACAUGACACGAUUUGAAGAAUUGAUGCAUCACAUAUUAGCUCACAACCCAGCGUUUGAC